rnacentral:siRNA from 1 species
GGGUGUUGGUCGAUUAAG